UUCCAAACCCUAAUUAGCCGCCGCCGCCGCCGCCACGAGCCGCCGUGAUCCUCCGACACUCGGCCCCACGGCGCCGCCGCGAAAAUUCUCUCGUCUCCUUGGUGAAUUCUCCGACGCCUCCAUUACAGCAGCGACAGCAGUUUGAAGUUGAGAUUGGUUUGUCGAAGCUGAAUUCGUUCAUAACUCUAUCAUGAUGCUUAAAUGGUAGUGAAAAAAUGUGGUUUCUUGGAGAUGCUGAAUGAGUACUUACAACUCAACCACUGUUCAAUUCACUUCAACAAAUCUGAAAAACAGGGGAACAGUGUCAACAUCCCGAUACCCUCCAUUGGAAUAUGCACGAUCAUGGCCUGAAGUUUCUUGGCUAUGGGGCAAUGGACAGGAUCAAAGAAUCAAGUUCACCCGACAGCUUUGAAUCUUCGAGUGGCUUCAUCACCAGGCAGACGGCUAGCCGGCGAUCAGGUGGGGAUUUGGCGCACUGUACGACACUGAGGAAGAUGUUCUCGUCGCAGGGGAUACAGAGUCUUGUAUUGGCAUUGAAGUCAUAGACAUCCCGAGCUUGAUCAAGCAGUGCCUGGAAGAGCGGGUGCUUCAGCAAGCUUACUUUGAUCACGAACCUCUUCCGACACUCUCCAACAUAUACUACCAAGUGACCCUUUGGGACAUCGCUCGGGACAAUCUUCUCCUCGUGCUUAGAUGACAACGGCCACAGCGACCAUUUACAGCACACGGCGCAGGUAGCACAAGCUCCAAAUCAAGAACCAUAUUGGGAGGAAUGGUAACAAAAUUCUCCAAUAUUGUAUGGUUGAAAUUGCAUGGAGAAACAUAACUGGCAAAGCCAGCCAAUGGAUUCAUGGUUCAUCCCCCUCAGACGAUGUUCAUAUAUCUUCACCCUGUGGGAACCAAUUAAUCCCACCAAGUAACAAGGUACACUGUUACCAAUACCCACAUAUAUCUAUUCUCUAGAUUUAAAUUUUUGGUGGGUAAGUUAGUAAUCUCUUUAAAAUAAUACUUUUCUCCAUACUUGAGCUAGUUGAAAAUUUGACUGAUUUUUGGAUAGAUGGUAAGAUAAUAUAUUUAAAGAACUCUCUGUGUGUAAAUGUAGGAGCUAAUUAGUAUUAUGAAAUAUAUAGACUUGCACAAAUUUUUUAGACGAUUAGGGCAAUUAUGAUUUUUAAGAAGUUGUUUGUUUAUUCUUAAAAUUUAGGAUUAGUUGGGAGCUUGUACUUUUAGAUUUGGAGCCAUUGUUGUGGUUUUGAAAAAGAAAUGUCUUGUUUAUAUAGCUAUCACCAUCAUACAUUGAGUAUUUUUAGUAAAAGCAUAAUUGAAUAAUAUUUAAAUUAAAAAGAUACUAUGACGUUAUUUGAGUUUGAUCUUUGGUUUAAGUAGUGUUUUGAUAGGAUGUUUGUGAGAAAAUUUAUUUAUUUAAUAUUGAAAACCGUAUGGACUAAAUAGUAAAAAAUUGAUUUAAAAUGAAGUAUUGAUUUGAAUUUAUUUUGUUCGUGAUAUUUUGUGAGAAGAAAUAAUAUAUUUUUAUUAAAAAUUAUAGCUAGUGUUGAUUUUGAUUUGA